UCGCUCUGAAGUGGGGAAUGGCGGAGGGGGCACAGGCUGCGGUUAGUGAGCACGUCCCAGGGAACACCGCCCAGAGGCAGUAGAGCUGCCAGCCGCCUGCCUGACAGGGCUGUUGGGAGGGGCUGGGGAGCCCAGACCUCACUGUGCCUUGCUCACUCCAGCAGGGACUUGGGGACGUGGCAGGAGCAGUGCUGGGGACACACGAGCACAUCCAGGGUAACCGGGCCUGCGGCUGCGUUGUCACCUCACUUCUGGACAGACUGCACUAGGCUCUGAAUUUCCCAGACGCCCAGCACCACGCCCAGUCCCACAAGAUCGCAGGCAGCACUCCCUGGAGCCUGGGGCGGGGCCGCGGAAAUCUGGCUGGAGGUGGGGACAGCGUGUGGGUGGCGAGAAGCCAGGGAGGACAUAAAGCCAGGUAAGGGGGUAGAGGGAGGGAGUCCAGUGAGGAGCAGGACAAAAAGGUUUUUUACAGGCCCACAGGCAGCACGUAGAGGAACCAAUCAUCCCAGAGCGCACUUCUGCUGUCUCACACAGCACUGAUCGCACCAGAUGACGUCAGGAAUAUCCAAAUGGCCCUUGGAAGAAACAAGGUUCCCCGGCCCUGAUUUAGACCAAGACAGCCGUCUUCCUGCAGAGCCCGUGCCACCUCCCACGUCCUGGGCGGCGCUGACAGGUCAGGAGCCCUGGCACACUUCCCAACCAUCGGGCCAAGGCCUCGAUUUUCCCUGGUGAGUCAGGGGGAGGAACAGAGGACUGGCGAGGAAGAGGUGGUGGCGUGGCACAGACAUGGGGCUGCGGAUUGGCUCGUGGGCCCGGGUGAACAAAAUCCCUCUAGGGCAGGGGUCAGGGUCCCAGCUGGCCUCCGCUGCAGUUUUUCUCCUUUGCCCCAAGUCUUUACAAAUGGGAAUACCAUCCUGAGAACCAGCGCCCAGCACACAGGCCCAGGCUGGGUGAGACUGGCACACUGCAGUUUGCUGCCGUCUGCUCAGGCGUCCGUGUCUGCCCAGGGCUCUGGGUCCCAACGGUGCCUUUCAGAGAAGCCGUUCCUUCUGCACUGUCCAGUAAGCACCACUGAGCACGGCUCACAGAUCAGCCUGUGACGUGAGUCCCGAUGACAGAGAAGGCACGGACAGCCACCGCCGCAAGCAGAGUGCAGGGCGAAAGGGAGCUCGGAGAACAGAGAAGGCAAGGGAAGUCUGCUCGGAACAGCUCACGCCAGGCUGAGUGCAGUCGGCCGAGGACAGGGCUGGGAGCAAAGAAGCAGAACUUGUCCUGGAGGCAGCAUGGUGUGGAGGAGGGGCCUCUAGACCAUAGGUGACAGGCAGCUAGGGCCAGCCGAGGACAGCUCAGCAGGGCACUGGGUUUCAGCAAGACCCAUGGCUGCCACGCGGGGAGUGGACAAGGCCGUGGCUAUCACUCAGUCACAAGCGGCUGAGGGAGGAGCUGGGACAGCGGCCAUCAGGACAACGGUGGACCCGAAGGAUUUGCAGUUCUUCUAGACCUGGGCUAAGAGGACAGCCACCAGUCACACGUCACCACUGAACACUUGAAAUGGGCUCGUCUGGGAUCAGCACCAUGCAGGGAACCUGCUACCUGGGCACCCACAGCACACGGCUGACGAUAUGCGCAUGGGGUUCGGGGCUGGGGUGCAGCUCUCGCCCGGCAGCAGCCCAGGGGAGGCAGAGGGCAGAGCCACCAGCCCUGGGGUUCCUCUGCAGAACAGCAUGGGAGAUGCCAAAGCAGGCUCAGUGCCACACAGUGGGCAAAGGUGGAAAACACAAGACAGGUCCACAUCUCUGGAGUCUUUGGCCAAAAAACAGGACAAGCACAAGGAUUUCCUUAUUCUGAUGCAACCACAAAGGUGUUCUCUGGGGAGAAGACACUCUGACGAAAUAUUUGGAGAACCCAAGGAGAUACACCCCUGGAACUAAAAUGGUCUUUGCUGUUCUUAAAAAGUAUAGUGGCAGCCGGUGCUGUGGUACAGCAGAUAAAGCUGCCACCUACAGUGCCGGCAUCCCAUGUGGGCACGGGUUCAAGACCUGGCUGCUCCACUUCUGAUCCAGCUCUCUGCUAUGACCUCAGAAAGCAGUGGAAGAUGGCCCAAGUGCUUGGGCCCCAGCACCUGCAUGGGAGACCUGGAAGAAGUUCCUGGCUCCAACUGUUGCAGCCAUCUGGGGAGUGAAGCUGCAGAUGGAAGACCUCUCUCUCUCUCUCUCUGCCUCAGCCUCUCUGUAACUCUGCCUUUCAAAUACAAUAAAUAAAGUCAGAGAGAAGAGCUUAUUCAAUAUUUGAAACAGGCCAUAUCUUUUUGAAAUGCUAUUGCAGCUUCAAAAUAAUAGUUAUAAGCCAGAAAUCUUCAACUGAAUCUUUUUAGAAGAAAACAAACAAACAAACAAACAAACAAACGGGGGCCGGCACUGCGGUGUGGUGUGGCAGGUUUAGCCACCAGCCUGCAGCGCCAGCAUCCCAUACAGGCUCUAGUUUAACCUGUGGCUGCUCCACUUCUGAUCGAGCUCCUGCUAAUGGCCUGAGAAAGCAGUGAACCCCUGCACCCAUGUGGGAAGAGAGGAAGAAGCUCCAGGCUCCUGGCUUCAGCCUAGGCCAGCCUGGGCCAUUGUGGCCAUCUGGGGAGUGAACCAGCAGAUAGAAGAUCGACCUCUCUGUCUCUCCUUCUUUCUCUAUAAUUCUGCCUUUCAAAUAAUUUUUUAAAUUAAAAAAAAAAAGGAAAAAAAAAAAAAGAAA